GAAUUUGCCUUUAGGAGGGGGACAACAACUGGAAACGGUUGCUAAUACCCCAUAUGCUUUCGAGUGAAACGGUUUUUCCGCCUAAAGAGAAGCUUGCGGCUGAUUAGCUUGUUGGUGAGGUAAUGGCUCACCAAGGCGACGAUCAGUAUCUGGUUUGAGAGGACGAUCAGACACACUGGAACUGAGACACGGUCCAGACUCCUACGGGAGGCAGCAGUGGGGAAUUUUCCGCAAUGGGCGAAAGCCUGACGGAGCAAUACCGCGUGAGGGAUGACGGCCUAUGGGUUGUAAACCUCUUUUUUCAGGGAGGAAUCAAUGACGUGUACCUGAGGAAUAAGCAUCGGCUAACUCCGUGCCAGCAGCCGCGGUAAGACGGAGGAUGCAAGUGUUAUCCGGAAUCACUGGGCGUAAAGCGUCUGUAGGUGGUCCAAUAAGUCAACUGUUAAAUCUUGAGGCUCAACCUCAAAAUCGCAGUCGAAACUAUUAGACUAGAGUAUAGUAGGGGUAAAGGGAAUUUCCAGUGGAGCGGUGAAAUGCGUAGAGAUUGGAAAGAACACCGAUGGCGAAGGCACUUUACUGGGCUAUUACUAACACUGAGAGACGAAAGCUAGGGUAGCAA
rnacentral:rRNA from 2 species